UACGUAGGGUCCGAGCGUUGUCCGGAAUUAUUGGGCGUAAAGAGCUCGUAGGCGGUUUGUCGCGUCUGCUGUGAAAUCCCGAGGCUCAACCUCGGGCCUGCAGUGGGUACGGGCAGACUGGAGUGCGGUAGGGGAGAAUGGAAUUCCUGGUGUAGCGGUGGAAUGCGCAGAUAUCAAGAGGAACACCGAUGGCGAAGGCAGUUCUCUGGGCCGUAACUGACGCUGAGGAGCGAAAGCGUGGGGAGCGAACAGG
rnacentral:rRNA from 1 species